AUGUAUUUCUUCUGCUGCGACAUGAUCUCUCUCUCUCUCUCUCUACUUCGUUCUCGUUCUCUUCUCUCUCUAUCUGUAGAACGAGAAACUUCUGACGCGUU
rnacentral:sRNA from 1 species